GUUUGAUCCUGGCUCAGGAUGAACGCUGGCUGUGUGCCUAAUACAUGCAUGUCGAACGAAGUACUUGUACUUAGUGGCAAAUGGGUGAGUAACACGUACCUAACUUGCCUUUUAGAUUGGGACAACCACGGGAAACUGUGGCUAAUACCAAAUAUGUAUAAAAAACAUAUGUUUUUUAUAUGAAAGGAAGCGAUUGCUUUGCUAAAAGAUAGGGGUGCGCUACAUUAGCUUGUUGGUAGGGUAAAAGCCUACCAAGGCUAUGAUGUAUAGUGGGAUCGAGAGGUUGAACCACCACACUGGGAUUGAGAUACGGCCCAGACUCCUACGGGAGGCAGCAGUAGGGAAUAUUCCACAAUGAGCGAAAGCUUGAUGGAGCGACACAGCGUGUAGGAUGAAUGCCUUAGGGUUGUAAACUACUGUUAUAAGAGAAGAAUAGCUAAAAAAGGAAAUGUUUUUAGUCUGACGGUAUCUUAUCAGAAAGCAGUUGCAAACUAUGUGCCAGCAGCAGCGGUAAUACAUAGACUGCAAGCGUUAUCCGGAAUUAUUGGGCGUAAAGCAUUCGUAGGUUGUUUAUUAAGUUUGGUGUUAAAAACAAAAGCUCAACUUUUGUUUGCAUUAAAUACUAAUAGACUAGAGUUAUAAAGAGGUUAAUGGAACUCCAUAUGAAGCGGUGGAAUGCGUAGAUAUGUGGAAGAACACCAAUGGCGAAGGCAAUUAACUGGAUAUACACUGACACUGGGGGAUGAAAGCGUGGGGAACAAACAGGAUUAGAUACCCUGGUAGUCCACGCUGUAAACGAUGUUUGUUAAUCGGUGGUGAAAUCACUGAUACAGCUAACGCAAUAAACAAACCGCCUGAGUAGUAUGCUCGCAAGAGUGAAACUUAAAGGAAUUGACGGGGAGCCGCACAAGCGGUGGAGCAUGUGGUUUAAUUCGAAGCUACGCGAAGCACCUUACCAACAUUUGACAUCUUUUGCAAAGGCAUAGAGAUAUGCUGGAGGAUAACAAAAAGACAGGUGGUGCAUGGCCGUCGUCAGCUCGUGCCGUGAGGUGUUGGGUUAAGUCCUAUAACGAGCGCAACCCUUUUCUUUAGUUACUAACAUUUAGUUGAGCACUCUAAAGAUACUGCCUAGGUAACUAGGAGGAAGGAGGGGAUGAGGUAGGUCAUCAUGCCUCUUACAUGUUGGGUUACACACGUGCUACAAUGGCAAAUACAAAGAGAAGCAAAAUCGUGAGGUGGAGCAAAUCUGUAAAAUUUGUCUCAGUUCGGAUUGGAGUCUGCAACUCGACUCCAUGAAGUAGGAAUCGCUAGUAAUCCUAGAUCAUCAAUGCUAGGGUGAAUACGUUCUCGGCUCUUGUACACACCGCCCGUCAAACCAUGGGAGUUGGUAAUACCCAAAGCUAGUUAGUUAACCAUUUAUUUGGAGGCAACUAUCUAAGGUAGGAUCAAUGACUGGGGUUAAGUCGUAACAAGGUAACC
rnacentral:rRNA from 1 species